rnacentral:tRNA from 2 species
GCCGGGUUGGCGGAACGGUAGACGCGGUGCACUCAAAAUGCACUGUCCGUGAGGGCGUGCGGGUUCGAAUCCCGCACCCGGCACCG